GGGCUAGUCGGCAGGCAUGACUUGCUGAUGCUGGUCUCUUAUGGAGGCAUGUGCUCGCUUGUACAUGAAUUUAUCUUUCCACCUGUGCACUACCUGUAGGGCUGUAGAGUUAUCCGAGGCAACUCGGGCCACAUUGGGAUUUGCUGUGCUUUCCACAGCCAGCUGUCCUUGGUCUCUUAUGCGCUAUGUUUUUCACAUACCCCAUGAAAUGUAACAGAAUGUAUGACUAGGUCUUUGAACCUAUAAACAAAUAUACAACUUUCAGCAACGGAUCUCUUGGCUCUCGCAUCGAUGAAGAACGCAGCGAAAUGCGAUAAGUAAUGUGAAUUGCAGAAUUCAGUGAAUCAUCGAAUCUUUGAACGCAUCUUGCGCUCCUUGGUAUUCCGAGGAGCAUGCCUGUUUGAGCGUCAUUAAAUUCUCAACCUUAGCAGCUUUAUUGCGAACUAAGGCUUGGAUAUGGGGGGUUUUGCCCGGUUCCCCUGAAAGUCCGGUCCCUUAAAAUGGAUUAACGGGGGUCUACCCCGAAAUCAGGGGGAUAAUAUCUAUGCUGGUGGAAGGGUUUCCAUGAACUACCCUGGUUAUAACCCUCCUUGCCAGAAGAACAUUUAUGAACAUUUUGAACUCCAAUCAAGGAAGAAUACCCGCUGAACUUAAGCAUAUCCAAAAGCGGAAGAAAA
rnacentral:rRNA from 1 species